AUUGAACGCUGGCGGCAGGCCUAACACAUGCAAGUCGAGCGGAUGAAGGGAGCUUGCUCCUGGAUUCAGCGGCGGACGGGUGAGUAAUGCCUAGGAAUCUGCCUGGUAGUGGGGGAUAACGUCCGGAAACGGGCGCUAAUACCGCAUACGCCCUGAGGGAGAAAGUGGGGGAUCUUCGGACCUCACGCUAUAAGAUGAGCCUAGGUCGGAUUAGCUAGUUGGUGGGGUAAAGGCCUACCAAGGCGACGAUCCGUAACUGGUCUGAGAGGAUGAUCAGUCACACUGGAACUGAGACACGGUCCAGACUCCUACGGGAGGCAGCAGUGGGGAAUAUUGGACAAUGGGCGAAAGCCUGAUCCAGCCAUGCCGCGUGUGUGAAGAAGGUCUUCGGAUUGUAAAGCACUUUAAGUUGGGAGGAAGGGCAGUAAGUUAAUACCUUGCUGUUUUGACGUUACCAACAGAAUAAGCACCGGCUAACUUCGUG
rnacentral:rRNA from 1 species